AAGGCUUGACAUAUACCGAAAACUGGCAGAGAUGUCAGGUCCGCAAGGGCGGUAUACAGGUGGUGCAUGGUUGUCGUCAGCUCGUGUCGUGAGAUGUUGGGUUAAGUCCCGCAACGAGCGCAACCCUCGUUCUAUGUUGCCAGCGCGUAAUGGCGGGGACUCAUAGGAGACUGCCGGGGUCAACUCGGAGGAAGGUGGGGAUGACGUCAAAUCAUCAUGCCCCUUAUGUCUUGGGCUGCACACAUGCUACAAUGGCCGGUACAAAGGGCUGCGAUACCGCAAGGUGGAGCGAAUCCCAAAAAGCCGGUCUCAGUUCGGAUUGGGGUCUGCAACUCGACCCCAUGAAGUCGGAGUCGCUAGUAAUCGCAGAUCAGCAACGCUGCGGUGAAUACGUUCCCGGGCC
rnacentral:rRNA from 1 species